GAUGAACGCUGGCGGCGUGCCUAAUACAUGCAAGUAGAACGCUGAAGGAGGAGCUUGCUCUUCUGGAUGAGUUGCGAACGGGUGAGUAACGCGUAGGUAACCUGCCUGGUAGCGGGGGAUAACUAUUGGAAACGAUAGCUAAUACCGCAUGACAACAGUUAUUGCAUGAUAACUGUUUAAAAGGGGCAACUGCUCCACUACCAGAUGGACCUGCGUUGUAUUAGCUAGUUGGUGAGGUAACGGCUCACCAAGGCGACGAUACAUAGCCGACCUGAGAGGGUGAUCGGCCAAACUGGGACUGAGACACGGCCCAGACUCCUACGGGAGGCAGCAGGAGGGAAUCUUCGGGAAUGGACGGAAGUCUGACCGAGCAACGCCGCGUGAGUGAAGAAGGUUGUCGGAUCGGAAAGCUCUGUUGUAAGAGAAGAACGAGGGUGAGAGUGGAAAGUUCACACUGUGACGGUAGCUUACCAGAAAGGGACGGCUAACUACGUG
rnacentral:rRNA from 1 species